UGGCUGCGAAAAGAGUUUUAAUUUUUAAAGAGACCAUCGCACAUUAACGGUCUCAGGCGACAGGCACAACGGAGAGAGAAACUAUGUUUGAA
rfam:Escherichia coli ISC11, WGS project CBWP01000000 data, contig: c19